rnacentral:lncRNA from 1 species
GGCCAGAUAAGAGAAUAAAAGCAGGCUGCCCGAGCCAGCAUUGACAACUCGCGGGGAUUGUUUUCCACACCGUGGAAGCUUUGUUCUUUUCGUUUUUUGCAAUAAAUCUUGUUGCUGCUCGCUUUUUGGGUCCACAUUGCUUUUAUGAGCUGUACCACUCACCGUGAAGAUCUGCAGCUUCACUUCAGAGCCUAGCGAGACCACAAGCUCACUGAGAGGAACAAACAACUCCAGACGCGCUGUCUUAAGAGCUAUAACACUCACCGCGAAGGUGUGCAGUUUCACUCCUGAGCUAGUGAGACUACGAAGCCACUGGAACGAAGAAACUCCAACCACGUUUGAACAUCAGAAGGGGCAGACUCCAGACGCUUCAUCUUAAGAGCUGUAACACUCACUGUGAAGGUCUGCAGCUUCACUCCUGAGCCAGCGAGACCACGAACCGAUCUGAACAUCAGAAGGGACAGACUCCAGAUGCCCCACCUUAAGAGCUGUAAUACUCACUGCAAGGGUCUGCAGCUUCAUUCUUGAAGUCAGACCAAGAACCCAGCAAUUCCCAACACACAGGGACCAGCUUCUUUCCUAACUCACUUAGGCUCUUCGUGCUGCUCUGGCAACUAACACCCUUGGCUGCAGGGGCUUGGACACUACCCUUAGUCACUGACAAUUGUGUGAAGGCUGCUGUCGUUAACUUCACUUGAUCACCUUAGGCUCCUGUGAAGUGGUGAGCAAUUCAAACAAAUUCCUGUCGUCAAAUCAUAAUCCUGAUUUUGUUUGGAAGGACAGCGUGCCUGGUUCCAGGACUUGAAUCAUUCGUUUGUCCAGCAUCUCCAUGCUGUGUACGCUACCCGCCUGUUAGUCAUUGACACUGUCUGCUCCUGACAUCCACCCAUCAAUAUUGUCAUUGCUCAAUGAUCCAGGAUCACCGAGAGCAGAUGAGCCUCCUGAUGCAUGGUCAGAAGGUCAAUAGUAGCUUACUUCUCCGUCACAACGCCUGAGUUAUUCACCUCACCUCACCUCAUCACAUGGCCAUUUGAAUCAUCUUAUAUCAUCACAAGAAGAAAGGAUAUACAUCUUUCCACACCAAUAGACCUUGUUUUCCGAUGUAGCAUUAUUUUUCAUAGUUGGCGAAUAUACAGUUAUGGAUUCAUAACAGCAAGAUGGAGAAAUUGCACUGCAGAGAAAUCUUUAAAAGCAAUUACCUAAUACUGCAGAUUGCUGAACUGUACCCACACCCAAGACUGAGCAUUGGAUCAAUCCAGAAUAUACAUCAGGUGUUCUGCAAUGUCUGCCUAAAACCAUGACUCUGCCUCCUCCAGCUGUUGCUACAUCUCACUAUGGGUUUCCUGUGACAUUUUGAGCAAGUAUGCCUCUGUGACUGGGGUUCUUACACUCCAGAAUGGAUGAGAAGCACCGUAAGUGGCUUUUAAAAUGAAUAUUCCCUGGCCCUUCAGUCGCUCUAUAGGUCAAGAAUCUGAAUUCUCAACCUGUCUAGAAGGUUCUGGUUUUAAUGGUCUGUGGGCUGCACAUUGAGAAACCUGUUCAGCGAGUGCAACAAAGGUUCCACAUGUGAGAAAGGAAGCAUCAGGUCUCUUGAGCCUGUUCUUUAAUCUGUAGGCUGCACCUUCUCUUUAAAUUCUGCUAAUAACACCAUGCGAGAAAACACCCGAGCUUGAAAAGCCCAUGUUCCAACAUAACUGUCCUUCACCACUCUGGAAAAUUAAUGGUUUGUUUCGAUUAUCCCUUUGUUAAACUCCAAAGUCAAAGAGCUCUGAAAGGCAUACGGUUAUUUUAAGUUUCAGGUGAUUUCUGUUGCCAAAUAUUUUAAAAAUUUAAAAUUGCUACGUGACCUCUUAGUAGUACUAUUAGAUUUCCUGACAAUAAAAAUAAGUCUUUUGGUUUCACCAUUUAUAGUUAGUACAGCUAAUAUUAAGUAUAAUUUUAAAAGCCUUUUAUUUUCUCAGAAAGAAAAAAUAAUCAAAAUCUGCUCAGUGUGGUAUUGAAUAAUUAAAAACAAAAGAACAGUAUCUUCACAUUAGUGUUUAAUAUUAAUUGCUUUUUUACCCUUGACACUGGUGCUAAUUAAAUUUUCAUUUUAUUUUCCAUGACUUGUUUAAACAGUUUUUGCAAAUUAUUGCUAAUCAGCCUAAUAAAACUGAAUCACCUAUUAAACAAUUUUGUUUUGAAUUAAAUGGCAUUAAAAUAAUUCUGGCUGCCUUGUGUUAUAAUGUGUUACAAGAAUACCAACCGCUACAGGUAAUAUGCCUUAGCUUUUACACAUGCUUUAAAUAAAUCUACGGAUGUAUUUACCUACAUGCACAAACAUGCAAAGAGGCAGUGUUGGUUAGUUGAAUGGGUUUCCGGCUGGAUUUAUUUCCCGUCUACUGUCUUCUCAAGAGGAAAUCUAAGGCAAAUCUCUUCAACAACCUGAAACUUGGUUUUCAUCAUCAGCAAAAUAAGG